rnacentral:rRNA from 1 species
UACGUAGGGGGCAAGCGUUGUCCGGAUUUAUUGGGCGUAAAGAGCGUGUAGGCGGUUUAGUAGGUCCGCUGUGAAAACUCGAGGCUCAACCUCGAGACGCCGGUGGAAACCAUCAGACUAGAGUCCGGAAGAGGAGAGUGGAAUUCCUGGUGUAGCGGUGAAAUGCGCAGAUAUCAGGAAGAACACCCGUGGCUAAGGCGGCUCUCUAGUACGGUACUGACGCUGAGACGCGAAAGCGUGGGGAGCGAACAGG